rnacentral:misc_RNA from 1 species
GGAAUAAAUUUCGUUACCGAACGACUGCCGUCGUUCCGUUGAGGCGUCGGAUCCCCCGGAUCCGCCGUCCUCUCGGGGCGCCGGCGUCCGUGAGGAAUGC